GUCAGUUUGGCAUAGUGGUUUGAGUGCUGGACUACAACUCUGGACUACAACCAGGGUUCAAUUCCCACCUCGGCCA